ACUCAAAUGAAUAGACGGGGGCUCACACAAGCGGUGGAGCAUGUGGCUUAAUUCGAGGCUACGCGAAGAACCUUAUCCUGGGUUUGACAUGUUCGAAAGAGGUAGGAAGUAGAAAGCGGAAACGCCAACGAACGGUAUCCAAUCCGGAACCUACUACAGGUGCUGCAUGGCUGUCGUCAGCUCGUGUCGUGAGAUGUCGGGUUAAGUCCCAUAACGAGCGCAACCCUUGUUUCCAGUUGCCAGCGGGUCAUGCCGGGGACUCUGGAAAGACUGCCGGUGUCAAACCGGAGGAAGGUGGGGAUGACGUCAAGUCCUCAUGGCCUUUAUACCCAGGGCUGCACACGUGCUACAAUGGCGUGUCACAAAGGGAAGCAAGCUCGCAAGAGUUAGCAAAUCCCAUAAAACACGCCCCAGUUCAGAUCGCAGGCUGCAACUCGCCUGCGUGAAGUUGGAAUCGCUAGUAAUCGCAGGUCAGCAACACUGCGGUGAAUGUGUUCCUGAGCCUUGCACACACCGCCCGU
rnacentral:rRNA from 1 species